rnacentral:rRNA from 1 species
GACGAACGCUGGCGGCGUGCUUAACACAUGCAAGUCGAACGGUAAGGCCCUGCUUUUGUGGGUUGCUCGAGUGGCGAACGGGUGAGUAACACGUGAGUAACCUGCCCUUGACUUUGGGAUAACUUCAGUAAACUGGGUCUAAUACCGGAUAGGAGCUCCUGCUGCAUGGUGGGGUUUGUAAAGUUUCGGCGGUUGGGGAUGGACUCGCGGCUUAUCAUCUUGUUGGUGGGUUAGUGGAUUACCAAGGCUUUGACGAGUAGCCGGCCUGAGAGGGUGACCGGCCACAUUGGGACUGAGAUACGGGCAAGACUCCUACGGGAGGCAGGAGUGGGGAAUAGUGCACAAUGGGCGGAAGCCUGAUGCAGCAACGCCGCGUGCGGGAUGACGGCCUUAGGGUUGUAACCCGCUUGCGCCUGUGACGAAGAGUGAGUGACGGUAAUGGGUAAAGAAGCAACGGCUAACUACGUG